CCGACUCCCACGAAGCGCCACCAUGGUUGGAACAGAGCGGGAGAAUUUUGAAAAUUUUGCAUCUCUAAAUCGUCGGAAAUGGCAUUUUCAAAAUCUUCUCUACCUCUUUUGUUAGGCCCUUUCAUUACUUCGUUCAUUAUGAUUUGUGAGUCUAUAGUAUCCGCGAGUCAGGAUGGAUUAUUACGAGAAAUGUUGUUAUCAAAAUACAUAUAU